UGUCAUUCAUUUGAUGUGAUCGAAGUUAGAUUUAAUUCUUUGAGUAAGUGAGAGAGUUUCAGGCAGUAUUGGCCGGAAUGCAUUAUCAAGGAAUAAUAGUAUGAGGCUUCGGGUUUAUAUAUUGCAUUUGUGGACAAAGUAAUGAUCAAUAGAAACAAUUGAGGGCAUCGGUAUUUAACAGUCAGAGGUGAAAUUCUUGGAUUUGGUAAAGACUAACGUAUGCGAAAGCAUUUGCCAAGGAUAUAUUCGUUGAUCAAGAACGAAAGUUAGGGGAUCGAAGAGGAUCAGAUACCGUCUUAUUCUAACCAUAAACUAUGUCGACUAGGAAUCAGGUGACCAUAUAUCACUCUCAGAGCAUCUACACAGAGAAAUUAAAAUUUUGGACUCUGGGGGAAGUAUGGUUGCAAGGCUGGAACUUAAAGGAAUUGACGGAACGGCACCACCAGGGGUGGAGCGUGCGGCUUAAUUUGACUCAACGCGGGGAACCUUACUAGGGUAAGACAUGAAAAUGAUUGACAGCGUGCAUGCGCUUUCUUGAUUUUAUGGGUGGUGGCGCAUGACCGAUCUUAGUCGGUGGGGUGACUAGUCUGUUUUAUUUCGAUACCGAACGAGAUAUCGUCCUGCCUAGUUGCAAUAGUCUAUAUCUGUAGGCAAUAGUCAAUAGUUGGACCAUCAGAGCAAUAAGAAGGAAGCGACGGUCUAAAUCAGAUGUAUGAUGACGUCUGAUCCUCUGGGGGGCACGCCCGAUACAAUGGAUAUCUAAACAUGCUACAUAUAUGAAAAGUUAUGCGACUCCCAAAAGAUAGGUCAUGAGAGGGAUAGUUUACUGCAAUUAUAGCCCCGAACGAGGAAUCCAUUGUAAAUUCACUGAAGCAUAGAGAAUGGAAUACGUCGCAAUCCCAUGGCACACAACGCCCUUCGUUUCUUUUUCUUGACACUCAUUGCGAAAUUCGGGGAGAUGUAGAUUAAGCCGUUGCGAAUUUCGGGUAAUGGAGAAAGAAAAAGUCGUAACAAGUUAACC
rnacentral:rRNA from 1 species